UACGUAGGGGGCAAGCGUUAUUCGGAAUUAUUGGGCGUAAAGGGCGCGUAGGCGGCUUUGCAAGUCGGGUGUGAAAUCCCCAGGCUUAACCUGGGAACUGCAUUCGAGACUGCAUUGCUAGAGUAUGGGAGAGGGAAGUGGAAUUUCCGGUGUAGCGGUGAAAUGCGUAGAUAUCGGAAGGAACAUCAGUGGCGAAAGCGACUUCCUGGACCAAUACUGACGCUCAUGUGCGAAAGCGUGGGGAGCAAACAGG
rnacentral:rRNA from 1 species